AGCGUUAUCCGGAAUCAUUGGGUUUAAAGGGUCCGUAGGUGGAUAAUUAAGUCAGGGGUGAAAGUCUGCAGCUCAACUGUAGAAUUGCCUUUGAUACUGGUUAUCUUGAGUUAUUAUGAAGUAGUUAGAAUAUGUAGUGUAGCGGUGAAAUGCAUAGAUAUGACACAGAACACCGAUAGCGAAGGCAGCUCACUAGACCUGAAUUGACGCUCAGGGACGAAAGCGUGGGGAGCGAAC
rnacentral:rRNA from 1 species